rnacentral:rRNA from 1 species
UACGGAGGGUGCAAGCGUUAUCCGGAUUUACUGGGUUUAAAGGGUGCGUAGGCGGGUCUUUAAGUCAGUGGUGAAAUCCUCCCGCUUAACGGGAGAACUGCCAUUGAUACUAUUGAUCUUGAAUUCAGUUGAGGUGGGCGGAAUGUGUCGUGUAGCGGUGAAAUGCUUAGAUAUGACACAGAACACCGAUUGCGAAGGCAGCUCACUAAACUGUAACUGACGCUGAGGCACGAAAGCGUGGGGAGCAAACAGG